rnacentral:rRNA from 1 species
UACGUAGGGGGCUAGCGUUGUUCGGAUUCAUUGGGCGUAAAGGGCGCGUAGGCUGCGGGGCAAGUCGGGUGUGAAAUUUCGGAGCUUAACUCCGAAACUGCAUUCGAUACUGGCGUGCUUGAGGACUGGAGAGGAGACUGGAAUUCAUGGUGUAGCAGUGAAAUGCGUAGAGAUCAUGAGGAAGACCAGUGGCGAAGGCGGGUCUCUGGACAGUUCCUGACACUGAGACACGAAGGCCAGGGGAGCAAACGGG